UACGGAGGGUGCAAGCGUUAUCCGGAUUUACUGGGUUUAAAGGGUGCGUAGGUGGGUCUGUAAGUCAGUGGUGAAAUCUCCGAGCUUAACUCGGAAACUGCCAUUGAUACUAUAGGUCUUGAAUUAUCUGGAGGUAAGCGGAAUAUGUCAUGUAGCGGUGAAAUGCUUAGAUAUGACAUAGAACACCAAUUGCGAAGGCAGCUUACUGCGGAUCGAUUGACACUGAGGCACGAAAGCGUGGGGAUCAAACAGG
rnacentral:rRNA from 1 species